UGCAAUUCCUGGCUCUUUUUCUUCUGUUCGACGCCUAUUGAAGGCUACCAUACGCUCUCUUCCCCAACUUCCGCGACGUGCAUAUCGGUAAGGUGUCACCUAAAUAUCCAAGGUUGGGUACACGGGGAAACCCACCCCGUUGGGCAGAUAGGCGGCAAGACUGAAAUGCUAGCA
rnacentral:ribozyme from 1 species